rnacentral:rRNA from 1 species
UGGGGAAUAUUGCACAAUGGGCGGAAGCCUGAUGCAGCGACGCCGCGUGAGGGAUGACGGCCUUCGGGUUGUAAACCUCUUUCAGCAGGGAAGAAGCGCAAGUGACGGUACCUGCAGAAGAAGCACCGGCUAACUACGUGCCAGCAGCCGCGGUAAUACGUAGGGUGCAAGCGUUGUCCGGAAUUAUUGGGCGUAAAGAGCUCGUAGGCGGUCUGUCACGUCUGGUGUGAAAACUUGAGGCUCAACUUCAAGCUUGCACCGGGUACGGGUGGACUAGAGUGCUGUAGGGGAGACUGGAAUUCCUGGUGUAGCGGUGGAAUGCGCAGAUAUCAGGAGGAACACCGAUGGCGAAGGCAGGUCUCUGGGCAGUUACUGACGCUGAGGAGCGAAAGCAUGGGGA